rnacentral:rRNA from 1 species
CGCAGAGUCAUAUGCUGUCUCAAAGAUUAAGCCAUGCAUGUCUAAGUACAUGCCGUACUAAGGCGAAACCGCGAAUGGCUCAUUAAAUCAGUUAUGGUUCCUUAGAUCGUACCUUACUACUUGGAUAACUGUGGUAAUUCUAGAGCUAAUACAUGCAGCAGAGCUCCGACCCUCUGGGGACGAGCGCUUUUAUUAGACCAAGACCGACCUGGCCCUCGGGCCAGUUCCUCGUGGCGACUCUGUAUAACUUUGGGCUGAUCGCACGGGCUCGUCCCGGCGACGCAUCUUUCAAGUGUCUGCCUUAUCAACUGUCGAUGGUAGGUUACGAGCCUACCAUGGUUGUAACGGGUAACGGGGAAUCAGGGUUCGAUUCCGGAGAGGGAGCCUGAGAAACGGCUACCACAUCCAAGGAAGGCAGCAGGCGCGCAAAUUACCCACUCCCGGCACGGGGAGGUAGUGACGAAAAAUAACAAUACGGGACUCUUACGAGACCCCGUAAUUGGAAUGAGUACACUCUAAAUCCUUUAACGAGGAUCUAUUGGAGGGCAAGUCCGGUGCCAGCCGCCGCGGUAAUUCCGGCUCCAAUAGCGUAUAUUAAAGUUGUUGCGGUUAAAAAGCUCGUAGUUGGAUCUCAGUUCCAGACAAGCGGUCCGCCUAACGGUGGCUACUGCCUGGCCUGAACAACCAGUCGGUUUCCUUCGAUGAUCUUCGCUGAUUGUCUUGGGUGACCGACACGUUUACUUUGAAAAAAUUAGAGUGCUCAAAGCAGGCGUGACGCCUGAAUAAUGGUGCAUGGAAUAAUGGAAUAGGACCUCGGGUUCUAUUUUGUUGGUUUUCGGAACACGAGGUAAUGAUUAAGAGGGACAGCCGGGGGCAUUCGUAUUGCGACGCUAGAGGUGAAAUUCUUGGACCGUCGCAGACGACUAUGAA